CUUCAACUGCGAACGAACGAAGACCUAUAUUUUUGUGUACGUUUUUGUGUGUGUGUUUGAAAUAUUUUUAACCCGUUCUUUUGCAAUAUACACCGUGUGUGUAAAUUUUUAAUCUCAAUGCUUGGCUGUCCUACGUAUCCAACAACUUUUAUACAAGAUGCCAGAAAUUGGAUAUGCGUGUUUAAGCGAUUUGAAAAUCGGCCGCAUGUUAGGUUCCGGAGGUUUUGGCACCGUAUACGAAGCUAACUACAAAGGUGAAACUGUAGCCAUGAAACAGCUACACACAAACACCAAAAACAAGAAGGCUGCAAUGCAGAGUUUUCGCUCGGAAACUCGCCCCGAAGUGCUGAAUUUCAACCACCCAAACAUCGUACGGACUCUUGUCGUUUCGCAAGCGACGACAAUCGAAGAUUCGCCGUUUUUAAUCAUGGAGUAUAUUGAGAACAAGACUCUACAGCAUUUGUUAGACGAUCCGGAAGAGAUUAUAGACGAUGCUCGAAGGAUUCGUUUGGCCUUUGAGAUUGCGAGUGCUCUGGAAUACAUGCACGAGCAGAAUGUCGCCCACUUAGAUCUGAAACCUGUAAACGUCCUUGUUACAAAAAAG